GUCAGUUGCUUAAUGUUGCCCCCACAAACAUAACCUUUCUAUGUAUGCAUGUUUAAUUUGGAGUAACUUUAAUACACUUACACCUACGUAACACGUAUUGUCCUUCGACCCACUGAAGGUAUGUGGUACUGUUGACACAAUUACUAUGAAUAACCUGCUUGAAACUCGGUUGCGAAACGCAGGUAGUGAUGCUUUAUUUCAGUAUGAUUUCGGGUCGAAACGGUUCGCAUCGAAACGGUUCGAUCCGAAACGGUACGCGUCGAAACGGUACUGGUCGAAACGAGCUUCAUUGGUGCCAGGAAGAACGAGCUUCAUUGGUGCUGAUAGUCUUCAGAUUUAUAGUUAACUGGAAAAACAAAUUAUAUAUUUUUUUAUGAUUUCAUAGGUGAUUGUUAUGAACGCUUAAUUGAUGUAGAUAAAAGGGAACAAACGCGACAAACAUUGUCAUGGAGCUUGUGACGAAGGAAAAGUUGGUAAUGAAAUUUUGCUUUGAGAGACAUAGCGUAGGGGUUUGGACAUCAACAAGAAGGUGCUCUAUUACGACUAAAUUAUUUUUUGAGCUUUUCUCACUUGUAUGUAUAGAUGAUCAAUUUACUUGUAAAGAGGUGGAUUUGGGUUAUGUUUCAUCUCGAACGGGUCAAAUGGCGAUUUAAAAGAGUUAGGUCAAAAGGAGUCUUGGUUGUAAGUUUCCAAAGUGUACUGAAAUAAUAUAAGUAAUCGGGUUUGGCACAUUUAAUUA